rnacentral:tRNA from 1 species
GCCAACGUAGCUCAGCUGGUAGAGCAGCUCACUCGUAAUGAGCAGGUCGCCGGUUCAAGUCCGGCCGUUGGCUCCA